CGUGUAGGCGGAUGGGGACGUCGGUUGCUGAAAGCCCCCCGGCUCAACCGGGGAACGGGCACCGAAACGCCCCGUCUGGAGGGACGUAGGGGGACCUGGAACUUCCGGUGGAGCGGUGAAAUGCGUUGAGAUCGGAAGGAACGCCCGUGGCGAAAGCGAGGUCCUGGACGUUUUCUGACGCUGAGACGCGAAAGCUAGGGUAGCGAACGGGAUUAGAUACCCCGGUAGUCCUAGCUGUAAACGAUGGGCACUGGGUAGGGGGCUCGCCGAUGGGCUCUCUGCCGCAGGGAAACCGUGAAGUGCCCCCGCCUGGGGAGUAUGGUCGCAAGGCUGAA
rnacentral:rRNA from 1 species